rnacentral:tRNA from 1 species
GCUCCGGUAGUGUAAUUGGCAGCACACCCUCACCAAAAACAUUAAAAAAACCUAUAAAAUCGCAGGGAAGACUGGGCUCAAACCCCAGCCAGAGCA